GGGCUCGGACACUCCUGGGUUACAUACACACAUUCCCAACUGCCAGAGGCCCCGAGAUACCUAACAGGAGUGGUCUUUUCUUCCUUAGAUCCACAGGAUUAUUCAAAAUACCCAACCCCAGGAAGCCCACAAAACCUUGCUACUCCACCCUGCUUGUCAUACAUAGCUGCCUUCUAUGGCUCUAGCAUGUUGCUACCCUGUAUGGCCCUGCAAGGAAGCCUUCUUUCAUCUGGAGCUGUCUCACCUGCAGAGGUAUGAACUGAUUGUGCACACCAGCUGGCAUUCCCCCAGCCAUGGGCAUGGUCCCGGCGUAUGAAGUAUGAUGGAAGGGCUUCCCAGGAACUGGCACUGGUGGUCCCCAUGGCAUUGAGCCAAAGAGAUGAGAUGAUGAAGGCAUUAUAUUAGCUGUUAAAAAUCACAGAAAAGCUCUGUCUUAAUAAACAGUAUCAUUAAAGCCCUGAACUUUAA